rnacentral:rRNA from 1 species
UACGGAGGAUGCGAGCGUUAUCCGGAUUUAUUGGGUUUAAAGGGUGCGCAGGCGGCACGGCAAGCCGGCGGUCAAAUCGCGGGGCUCAACCCCGCCCAGCCGUCGGAACUGCCGGGCUAGAGUGGGCGAGAAGUGCGCGGAAUGCGUGGUGUAGCGGUGAAAUGCAUAGAUAUCACGCGGAACUCCGAUUGCGAAGGCAGCGCACCGGCGCCCUACUGACGCUCAGGCACGAAAGCGUGGGUAUCGAACAGG